rnacentral:rRNA from 1 species
AUUGAACGCUGGCGGCAUGCCUUACACAUGCAAGUCGAACGGUAACGGGCCUUCGGGUGCCGACGAGUGGCGAACGGGUGAGUAAUGCAUUGGAACGUACCUUUCAGAGGGGGAUAACGUAGCGAAAGUUACGCCAAUACCGCAUAUUCGGUGAGCAGGAAAGCAGGGGAUCGCAAGACCUUGCGCCGAUUGAGCGGCCGAUGUCAGAUUAGUCAGUUGGUGAGGUAAAGGCUCACCAAGGCGACGAUCUGUAGCGGGUCGGAGAGGAUGAUCCGCCACACUGGAACUGAGACACGGUCCAGACUCCUACGGGAGGCAGCAGUGGGGAAUUUUGGACAAUGGGGGCAACCCUGAUCCAGCCAUGCCGCGUGAGUGAAGAAGGCCUUCGGGUUGUAAAGCUCUUUCGGUCGGGAAGAAAUCGCAUGGGUUAAUACCCUGUGCGGAUGACGGUACCGGCAUAAGAAGCACCGGCUAAAUAUGUGCCAGCAGCCGCCGUAACAC